CAAAAACAUGGCUCCUUGAUUUUUGAUAAUAAGGAGUCGGACCUGCCCAGUGAAUAUUUUUAACGGCCGCGGUACUCUGACCGUGCAAAGGUAGCAUAAUCAUUUGCCUUAUAAUUGAAGGCUAGUAUGAAUGGUUUGACAAGAAUAUAGCUGUCUCUUUAUAAUUUUAUAGAAUUUUAUUUUUAGGUGAAGAAACCUAGAUUUAAUUAAAAGACAAGAAGACCCUAUCGAGCUUGAAAAAAUUUUACAGACUAUUAAAAUUGAUAAAGUUAAAAAAUUAUCUGUUAAAAAUUUUGGUUGGGGCGACUGAGGAACAUAAAAAGCUUCCUUUAUAAUAUAUUAAUUUCAUUCCUGAAUUGAUCCAAAAAGUUUUGAUUAAAGAAAUUAGUUACCGUAGGGAUAACAGCAUUAUCUUUUUUAAGAGCUCAUAUCGAAAAAAAGGUUUGUGACCUCGAUGUUGGACCAGAAUAUCCUAAAGGUGCAGCAGCCUUUAAGGGUUGGUCUGUUCGACCAUUAAAAUUCUACGUGA
rnacentral:rRNA from 1 species